rnacentral:rRNA from 1 species
GGUUAAGCGACUAAGCGUACACGGUGGAUGCCCUGGCAGUCAGAGGCGAUGAAGGACGUGCUAAUCUGCGAUAAGCGUCGGUAAGGUGAUAUGAACCGUUAUAACCGGCGAUUUCCGAAUGGGGAAACCCAGUGUGAUUCGUCACACUAUCAUUACGUGAAUACAUAGCGUAAUGAAGCGAACCGGGGGAACUGAAACAUCUAAGUACCCCGAGGAAAAGAAAUCAACCGAGAUUCCCCCAGUAGCGGCGAGCGAACGGGGAGCAGCCCAGAGUCUGAAUCAGCUUGUGUGUUAGUGGAACGGUCUGGAAAGUCCGACGGUACAGGGUGAUAGUCCCGUACACCAAAAUGCACAGGUUGUGAACUCGAAGAGUAGGGCGGGACACGUGGUAUCCUGUCUGAAUAUGGGGGGACCAUCCUCCAAGGCUAAAUACUCCUGACUGACCGAUAGUGAACCAGUACCGUGAGGGAAAGGCGAAAAGAACCCCGGCGAGGGGAGUGAAAAAGAACCUGAAACCGUGUACGUACAAGCAGUGGGAGCAUCCUUUUGGGUGUGACUGCGUACCUUUUGUAUAAUGGGUCAGCGACUUAUAUUCUGUAGCAAGGUUAACCGUAUAGGGGAGCCGAAGGGAAACCGAGUCUUAACUGGGCGUUAAGUUGCAGGGUAUAGACCCGAAACCCGGUGAUCUAGCCAUGGGCAGGUUGAAGGUUGGGUAACACUAACUGGAGGACCGAACCGACUAAUGUUGAAAAAUUAGCGGAUGACUUGUGGCUGGGGGUGAAAGGCCAAUCAAACCGGGAGAUAGCUGGUUCUCCCCGAAAGCUAUUUAGGUAGCGCCUCGUGAAUUCAUCUUCGGGGGUAGAGCACUGUUUCGGCUAGGGGGUCAUCCCGACUUACCAACCCGAUGCAAACUGCGAAUACCGAAGAAUGUUAUCACGGGAGACACACGGCGGGUGCUAACGUCCGUCGUGAAGAGGGAAACAACCCAGACCGCCAGCUAAGGUCCCAAAGUCAUGGUUAAGUGGGAAACGAUGUGGGAAGGCACAGACAGCCAGGAUGUUGGCUUAGAAGCAGCCAUCAUUUAAAGAAAGCGUAAUAGCUCACUGGUCGAGUCGGCCUGCGCGGAAGAUGUAACGGGGCUAAACCAUGCACCGAAGCUGCGGCAGCGACACUAUGUGUUGUUGGGUAGGGGAGCGUUCUGUAAGCCGUUGAAGGUGUAUCGUGAGGUAUGCUGGAGGUAUCAGAAGUGCGAAUGCUGACAUAAGUAACGAUAAUGCGGGUGAAAAACCCGCACGCCGGAAGACCAAGGGUUCCUGUCCAACGUUAAUCGGGGCAGGGUGAGUCGACCCCUAAGGCGAGGCCGAAAGGCGUAGUCGAUGGGAAACAGGUUAAUAUUCCUGUACUUGGUGUUACUGCGAAGGGGGGACGGAGAAGGCUAUGUUAGCCGGGCGACGGUUGUCCCGGUUUAAGCAUGUAGGCGGAGGUUCCAGGUAAAUCCGGUACCUUUUUAACGCUGAGGUGUGAUGACGAGGCACUACGGUGCUGAAGUAACAAAUGCCCUGCUUCCAGGAAAAGCCUCUAAGCAUCAGGUAACACGAAAUCGUACCCCAAACCGACACAGGUGGUCAGGUAGAGAAUACCAAGGCGCUUGAGAGAACUCGGGUGAAGGAACUAGGCAAAAUGGUGCCGUAACUUCGGGAGAAGGCACGCUGAUAUGUAGGUGAAGUGAUUUACUCAUGGAGCUGAAAUCAGUCGAAGAUACCAGCUGGCUGCAACUGUUUAUUAAAAACACAGCACUGUGCAAACACGAAAGUGGACGUAUACGGUGUGACGCCUGCCCGGUGCCGGAAGGUUAAUUGAUGGGGUUAUCCGUAAGGAGAAGCUCUUGAUCGAAGCCCCGGUAAACGGCGGCCGUAACUAUAACGGUCCUAAGGUAGCGAAAUUCCUUGUCGGGUAAGUUCCGACCUGCACGAAUGGCGUAAUGAUGGCCAGGCUGUCUCCACCCGAGACUCAGUGAAAUUGAACUCGCUGUGAAGAUGCAGUGUACCCGCGGCAAGACGGAAAGACCCCGUGAACCUUUACUAUAGCUUGACACUGAACACUGGUCCUUGAUGUGUAGGAUAGGUGGGAGGCUUUGAAGUGUGGACGCCAGUCUGCAUGGAGCCAUCCUUGAAAUACCACCCUUUAAUGGCUGGUGUUCUAACGUGGACCCGUAAUCCGGGUUGCGGACAGUGUCUGGUGGGUAGUUUGACUGGGGCGGUCUCCUCCUAAAGAGUAACGGAGGAGCACGAAGGUUAGCUAAUCCUGGUCGGACAUCAGGAGGUUAGUGCAAAGGCAUAAGCUAGCUUGACUGCGAGAGUGACGGCUCGAGCAGGUGCGAAAGCAGGUCUUAGUGAUCCGGUGGUUCUGAAUGGAAGGGCCAUCGCUCAACGGAUAAAAGGUACUCCGGGGAUAACAGGCUGAUACCGCCCAAGAGUUCAUAUCGACGGCGGUGUUUGGCACCUCGAUGUCGGCUCAUCACAUCCUGGGGCUGAAGUAGGUCCCAAGGGUAUGGCUGUUCGCCAUUUAAAGUGGUACGCGAGCUGGGUUUAGAACGUCGUGAGACAGUUCGGUCCCUAUCUGCCGUGGGCGCUGGAGAAUUGAGGGGGGCUGCUCCUAGUACGAGAGGACCGGAGUGGACGCAUCACUGGUGUUCGGGUUGUCAUGCCAAUGGCAUUGCCCGGUAGCUAAAUGCGGAAGAGAUAAGUGCUGAAAGCAUCUAAGCACGAAACUUGCCCCGAGAUGAGUUCUCCCUGAGACUUUAAGUCUCCUGAAGGAACGUUGAAGACGACGACGUUGAUAGGUCGGGUGUGUAAGCGUAGCGAUACGUUGAGCUAACCGAUACUAAUGAACCGUGAGGCUUAACCUU